CACGACGCACUUCUGAUCUGUGCUGGGGAUUGAACCCAGGACCUUGUGCAAGCUAAGCACGCUCUCUGCCACCGAGCUGUUCCCUCCACCCUGCAGCCUGAUCUUGAUGUAAAGACAUCAAGACAUCAUUCUGUAUUUACAUCAAGCUCCCUGAUCCUGGGGGCGAUCCUGGGGGCUGGCCGCAUGCUGCUCUUGGUGUUGGUGGGGAGGGGAUGUUGGGAGAUUCAAAAACAGCAGUGCAGCCUUCCCUGCAGUGUCACUUUGUUCAUAGGAGUUACAGUGAAUCAACUUUUGUCCAAAACAUGGUGGGAAUAGAAAUAAGUGGGAUUAUUACACAGCAGGUUCUUAGCAGCGUGAUUCACAGUUAAUAGUCAAAAGGGGGAAAUAACCCCAACGCCCGUCAGCGGUGAACGGAGAAACAAAGGUGUCCCUCCACACGCGGGAGCGUCGCUCGGCCGUGAGCAGGAGAGCAGCCCUGACACCCGCUGCCACGGGGCCGGACCCUGAGAGCACGGUGCUCAGGGAGAGAAGCAGACACAGAAGGACACACAGCGUUUGAGUCCACGGACGUGAGGCGUCCAGAACAGGCCAGUCCCCAGACCCGGGGAGGGGGCUCCUGGCUG